rnacentral:tRNA from 1 species
GGCUCCAUAGUGUAGUGGUUAGCACAUCUGCUUUACACGCAGAAGGUCCUGGGUUCGUGCCCCAGUGGAGCCA